CUGAAGGGGGAUGUCGAGGAGUCGAAUGAAGAGGUAACGCUCUGAAAGGCUCCUCUUGCGUCGAGUAGCACACUGAUUGGUAAGAUAUUGCGUGGUAUAAGCUAGGCUAUUAGCGGCGAAAACUGGUGAUAAAUUCAAAGGCUUACCAA
rfam:Sporosarcina psychrophila strain DSM 6497, complete genome.